AUUGAACGCUGGCGGCAGGCUUAACACAUGCAAGUCGAGCGGAGCGAGGGUGCUUGCACCUUAGCUUAGCGGCGGACGGGUGAGUAAUGCUUAGUAAUCUGCCUAUUAGUGGGGGACAACAUUCCGAAAGGAAUGCUAAUACCGCAUACGCCCUACGGGGGAAAGCAGGGGAUCUUCGUACCUUGCGCGAAUAGAUCAGACUAAGUAGGAUUAGCCAGUUGGUGGGGUAAAGGCCUACCAAGGCGACGAUCUGUAGCGGGUCUGAGAGGAUGAUCCGCCACACUGGGACUGAGACACGGCCCAGACUCCUACGGGAGGCAGCAGUGGGGAAUAUUGGAAAAUGGGCGGAAGCCUGAUCCAGCCAUGCCGCGUGUGUGAAGAAGGCCUUUUGGUUGUAAAGCACUUUAAGCGAGGAGGAGGCUACUUAGAUUAAUACUCUGGGAUAGUGGACGUUACUCGCAGAAUAAGCACUGGCUAACUCUGUGCCAGCCGCCGCCGUAAAAC
rnacentral:rRNA from 1 species